rnacentral:rRNA from 1 species
AUACGUAGGUGGCAAGCGUUAUCCGGAAUUACUGGGUGUAAAGGGAGCGCAGGCGGGAGAGCAAGUCAGCGGUGAAAUGUAUGGGCUUAACCCAUGAACUGCCGUUGAAACUGUUUUUCUUGAGUGGAGUAGAGGCAAGCGGAAUUCCGAGUGUAGCGGUGAAAUGCGUAGAUAUUCGGAGGAACACCAGUGGCGAAGGCGGCUUGCGUGGCUCUAACUGACGCUGAGGCUAGAAAGUGUGGGGAGCAAACAGGAUGAGAUACCCGGGUAGUCCACACUGUAAACGAAGAUUACUAGGUGUGGGGGGUAUGACGCCUUCCGUGCCGGAGUUAACGCAAUAAGUAAUCCACCUGGGGAGUACGGCCGCUAGGUUGAAACUCAACUCAAUUGGCGGGG